UGGAUGCCCCUCGCUUAGGUCUGACCCGCCGUUUGCCUUUCUAGCGUGGGCACCCAACUGCUUGGACCCUACAAGCGUUUGCCUCCCUGGCAUGGGGGCCUCUGAAUCUUAGGGUGGGGGGGGUGGAGCUACGGGAGGGAGCCCAAGAGAGAGGAACAAAUCAGCAGCAGCACUGCGCCCCUCUUCUUGAAGAGACGUGAAACAAUUCAGUCUCCGCCACCGCAGACCAGCCCGUCAAGGCAAGGCCAGGAAGGGAUACAGGGUUCUAGAGAACCAGGGCCUCUCCGCCAGCUCCAGCCGCUAAGCAAACAUUCCCUCCUGGAGUCAGAGAAGCCGGCGUGCGAGGGGAGGAACCAGCCUGAGGUUUAUCGCUCCAGCAACUCCGGGUGAUUCAUAGAGUUUAGGCUCCCAGUUGCCUUACACCGGGGCAGGCACGCAAACAAGCAGCUCGGGAGAUACCCACCCUUUUCCCUGCCCCCGCUCCUCCACCUUGCUACCCCCUAGCCCGCGACCAGCUACCUCCCCUCCCCCUCGCGGGCGCUCGGGGUUGAGCAAACACCGGCCGCCCGCCCCGCCUGCCUCGCCACCAGCUGGCUCCGACCGGCGCGCCGCUGGCGAUCCCCCAGGCAACUCGGCGUCAGGAGAACAGGCACCCCGAGACUCGGCGCCCUGCCCUCCCUCCGCGUCCCCAGGGCCCCGGCCAGACCUAACAACCUCUCCCUCCUCCGUGCGCCUCGGCCCCUACGGGCCUCUGGCGCGGGCUAACUAGGCCUCGCGGCCGGUCCCUGGGACGGCGCACCCCACCCGCCGCGAGGCCAGCAGCCCCGGGGGAAGGCGGCCGGAAAAUCUCCUCUUGUUUACCGGGCUGGAGAAGUCCCAGCCUGGAUUCGCUUCCCAAUUUCUGCGGUCCACCUUCAGCAGAUUCCUGGGGCCGGAGGGGAAAGAGUGGCAACCCACAGAUCCACCCCGGGACAGGGAGUGGGGGUGGGGCUGGUGGGAACCUGACCUCUUGGAAAGGUCCCCCGGCUGCUGGAGGGGACGGACUCGGAGUCAGAGCCGACGUGUCCCGGAGCGCAGAGACCGAGGGGGCCGCGCUAAACACUGUACCUCGGGGAACAAAACCGUGAAGGCUAAUUAGGACAAGUCGGAGCAGGGAACCGGGACGCUGGGAGGGGAGCGCGCGCUCCGAAUUGGGCAGAACCUGGAACGGUCGCAGGAAAUCCGGGCGCGGGAUAGUCGGGCCCAGGGCGACCUUUGCCCACGGUGCGGAGUGGCUCUGGACUCGGCCCACGCGUGAGAGGAGCACUUGGUAACGAUCCCACGUACGCUUUGUGACCGGUGGGGGGUCCCAGAGAAGGACCGCGCGUGCAAAAGGCGAACCUCGGUGUGUCCACGUGUGCAAGCUGGGGAGGGGAGGGGACGCAGAAGGCGUGACAAAAAGACGGACUCUGUGUCUUAAGUGUGCGCCUCGCUCCGGCCCGCUCCCAGCGAACUGUGCCCUAAGUGUGUCUCACGGGAGGGCCAGGACGAAGGUGACAAAGGCUAGGUGUCCCCCAUGGAGACGCGUCAAGGUAGCCCCACGCGUGUCCGUACGCGCGCUCUCUGGGAGACGCGGUGGGGGGUGCGCAGGGCUGCACCCCCACACCGCUUGCCCCGGAGAAGGCCGAGCCCAGAAAGUGAGUGCGCGUGAGUGUGCGCGCGCCCGCGUGCGGGGGCGUGGCAGUCAACAGCAACAAACCACACGCCGGCAGGGCCAGAAACUCCCAUCUCCCUCCCUAGCCGGAAAGUGCGAGUCGGCCCAGCCUGGAGGGACCCAACCAGAGCCUGGCCUGGGAGCCAGGAUGGCCAUCCACAAAGCCUUGGUGAUGUGCCUGGGACUGCCUCUCUUCCUGUUCCCAGGGGCCCGGGCCCAGAGCCAUGUCCCACCUGGCUGCAGCCAAGGCCUCAACCCCCUCUACUACAAUCUGUGUGACCGCUCUGGGGCGUGGGGCAUCGUCCUGGAGGCCGUGGCUGGGGCGGGCAUCGUCACCACGUUUGUGCUCACCAUCAUCCUGGUGGCCAGCCUCCCCUUUGUGCAGGACACCAAGAAACGCAGCCUGCUGGGGACCCAGGUGUUCUUCCUUCUGGGGACCCUGGGCCUCUUCUGCCUCGUGUUUGCCUGCGUGGUGAAGCCCGACUUCUCCACCUGUGCCUCUCGGCGCUUCCUCUUUGGGGUUCUGUUCGCCAUCUGCUUCUCCUGUCUGGCGGCUCACGUCUUCGCCCUCAACUUCCUGGCCCGGAAGAACCAUGGGCCCCGGGGCUGGGUGAUCUUCACUGUGGCUCUGCUGCUGACCCUGGUGGAGGUCAUCAUCAAUACGGAGUGGCUGAUAAUCACACUGGUUCGGGGCAGUGGCGACGGCGGCCCUCAGGGCAACAGCAGUGCCCGCUGGGCCGUGGCCUCCCCCUGCGCCAUCGCCAACAUGGACUUUGUCAUGGCGCUCAUCUACGUUAUGUUGCUGCUGCUGGGUGCCUUCCUGGGGGCCUGGCCUGCCCUGUGUGGCCACUUCAAGCGCUGGCGUAAGCACGGGGUCUUCGUGCUGCUCACCACGGCCACCUCCAUUGCCAUAUGGGUGGUGUGGAUCGUCAUGUAUACCUAUGGCAAUGAGCAGCGCAACAGCCCCACCUGGGAUGACCCCACGCUGGCCAUCGCCCUUGCCGCCAAUGCCUGGGCCUUUGUCCUCUUCUACGUCAUCCCCGAGGUCUCUCAGGUGACCAAGGCCAGCCCAGAGCAAAGCUACCAGGGGGACAUGUACCCCACCCGGGGCGUGGGCUAUGAGACCAUCCUGAAAGAGCAGAAGGGUCAGAGCAUGUUCGUGGAGAACAAGGCCUUUUCCAUGGAUGAGCCGGCUGCAGCUAAGAGGCCGGUGUCACCAUACAGCGGGUACAACGGGCAGCUGCUGACCAGUGUGUACCAGCCCACCGAGAUGGCCCUGAUGCACAAAGUCCCAUCCGAAGGAGCUUACGACGUCAUCCUCCCACGGGCCACCGCCAACAGCCAGGUGAUGGGCAGUGCCAACUCGACCCUGCGGGCUGAAGACAUGUACUCAGCCCAGAGCCACCAGGCGGCCACACCGCUGAAAGACGGCAAGAACUCUCAGGCUCAGUCCCCGCAAAGUAAAACGAGAUGGUAGAAGCCCUCUUCCCGGGACCGCACGGCAUCCUGAUCCUCAUUCCUCUGUACCCAGGCUGGGCUGGGCCCAGCACCUGUCCUGUCCUUGUCAUUGAAGCUGGGAGGGGCCGGAGGCCACCGACCUGAAGCAGUGGACCGAGUGGGCCCUCAUGAAGCCCUGAGUGUGUGACUGGAGCGCCUAGGGCCACCUCCCUUUCCUGCCCAGCCCAUCUUCCUGGUUCCCAGGUGGCUGCAGCUGCAAGGAGCUGUCCGCAGGCCCCCAGGCUGCCUCCAACUCCCCUCUUGACACCCUCCACCCCUCACCAAAUCAUAGCCCCUAUGUCCCCAGGCUGUGGUUCUUCAGAUUGCCAUCCUCCCCUCUGUGAACAGCAGGCCUCAGUGUACCGUCUUGACUCUGGACCUUCCUGGCCCUGCCAUCUUGGUGUCUGGCACUGGCUUGUCCCGCCCUCUGCCUAGAUGGAUCUCCUCCAUGAGUCUUUGAGGCCAAGCCAGGGCAGCAGUUGGCCCUUGCCCUUCUCACCAGGGCCUCCUACCACCACCUGGACUGUGGAAGGCCACUGAGAUGGGGGCAGAGCUCAGCCCAAGGCUUGGGCACACUGCUUCUCUCCACGGCCUAUGGGUCCCGGAUCUGAACCCCUGGGGUGUUUCACUUGAGAGCCCCUGAGCCGUCCCCAUCUUCCACAAAGCAGGUCCCACCAGCAAGCCAGGGCCAGCCCCUGAGCUGUCCCCAUCUUCCACGAAGCAGGUCCCACCAGCAAGCCAGGGCCAGCCCCUGCAGCUGUCCCCAUCUUCCACGAAGCAGGUCCCACCAGCAAGCCAGGGCCAGCCCCUGAGCUGUCCCCAUCUUCCACGAAGCAGGUCCCACCAGCAAGCCAGGGCCAGCCCUGCCUGAGCUCUGCCCCCAGUGCCCCUCACCAUCUGGGACGAGGAUGAGCAUGCUGGGAUGAGGGCUCUCUUUAUCCAGCAGUACCCCAUGGACAGCUCACUAAGGAGUUGGGAAUGGCAGGCCACCCUGGCAUCUGGGGUUCAAGGUGGCUCCUGUGGCAGGAACAGGUGUCCAUGACCCUGAUUACCUGGAUCUCACAGGUUCUGGGAAUGCAGCUGGAUUCCCAGAAUGCCUGCUGUGGCUAUUCCAACAUCUCUGGUCAGGGCCUGGAAGUACCCUUAGGACACGUGGGGUUGGGGUUCAGACUGCAUUCUCAGGGACCAGUGGAGAGCCCUGGACCCGAUGAACUGGAGUCUAGGCCUCUCUCGUGACUGGGACUUGUGGGACGUGGGAGGCCCAUGAGACCCAGGACUAAAGAUGAUGCUAUUUUCUGAUGGGCAGAUAUGUAAGUGGGUAAGUGGGAUCCUCAGGUAAGUGGGAUCCAGGACUAAAGACUGCUAUUUCCUGAUGGGCAGAUGUGUUGAGUUUCUACCUCAUCUCGAGCAGCACCUGGAUGUGCUGGUGCCGGUUCAUCACUGGAGGAGCCUCUUGUGUUCUGAGCCCUCAGAUAUGCUCCAGAGGAUCCUGACGGUCACCCAGUGAAGAGGGUGCCUUCUCAGGACCUCCAUGGUGCUGGCACCGAGGACGGAGAUGGGCACAGCUCCAGGCUUGUGGAAAUGAGCUCUCUAUAGCAUUGUCUUCCUGGGGUUUUUCCUGCCCUUAUCCAAGGUGGGCCCUAGAGCUCAGUCCCCAGCCCAGCAGCACCUCUGGGUGCCAGAGUGGAGGGUGACGACCAGAGCAGCUCUCUGGGGGGGGUGCCCUGUAGUCAGUCCCACAGCCCUCCGGUGCUACUCCCAUCCCCAGCAGCCUGUGCCUUUGUCACUGGCGUACUUUUCCAGAGCUAAAUUGGGUGAGCAAUCCCUGCAGAGUAGGACUGCAGCCCUGACUGUGGCCCCUGGCCUGUCUUUGUUGCUUGCUGAAGUCCAUGAACAGAGUGUUGUUUCCCUCCAGUGGAAGGAAAGCAGGGAGCUCUGUGAACUUCACGCUGCGCUUGGUCUAGCUUAGCAGCCCCAAGAUCCCUUAGUGAAUCGAGGCGCUGUGUUGCUUUCCUAUGUGAUAAUUUCAAAGGAGUCCCUGGCAGUGCCUGUUGCCCAGAGGCUGCAGUCUCCAGUGCACGCGGGUUUGUGUAUAGCCUGAGUCCUCUGGGGGCUCAGCGCGUGAGGCUCAGGGUGGGAUGGGCUCCUAAAAGAUGCAGGCCUACCUGUGUUCAGGAGUACCCACCGGCCCUGCUUACUCCUGCCCGGGCCAAGUGGAGAAGUUAGAUGAGUUCUUAGGAGGAGAGAGGUGGCUUCUUUGAGGUGGUCGAGUGGCAUCACAAACAAGCACUGAAUGGAAGAAAACUAGAAGAGGCAGAGCCUGUCGCAGGUUCACCAUCAUCCAGCCAACACCGUGGGAAAUCUCACACCCACCACUGUCAAACCGAGGACUUUGGACUUCAUAACUGCUCAGAAUUAAAUGACCUUACCCUCCGUGGGUGAGGGCUUACUGCCACUGAA